CGUCCUCGAGGAUGUCGACUGGUCUUCCUUUUGAAAAAGUCAGCAUAAAACAGAGCGUGAGAUUUGAGAUGAGGUGUUUAACUCGACUUUGUUUUAUAGUUUAUAUUGUUGAUGUUUCUUUUAUUGCCACACAUCUUUUAUUUUGAAUCCUUGAGGAGAUAUAAAAACAGACACAAAGGAGACAACCGUGCCAGCUGUGUGUUCGUCUGCGGUCUCCGAAGGCCACGGUGUUGACACGUCUGUCCGACCCUGACUCAUAGGCAACUUAAACAAUGCAACAAGCAACUCCGAUAUGAACAUUUCUGGCACAGUCAAGGUGGAAGGGAGGAGGGCGAACACAAAGGAGGAAAAAAAGAGCGGCAGGCGACCAGAGGACGGGCCGGAAACUUGGGAUUUUCCAGCAAGAGAAUGCGGAGGGCAGAUUUGGCUGGGAUUUUUUUAGCUGACGCCAAGAGAAGCAAUAGCCAGUGAGUGACAAAAUCAUUGCUUAGGUUGACCCGACCGCAUCAGCAGAAUGAUGGGCGUCUCUAGAGUGAGUGUUUGGGUUUUAGUGGAUGUGGGGUGUUGGGGGGAGUGACUUUUGCCCAUGAAACAUGAGUGUGGAGCCGUGAUUGACCGAAGUCCUCCCCGUCGACUCCCUUUAUCUUGGAGCUGAAUGUUUGAGAAACCGCGAGACACACAGAGAAAGAUAGUCAUACUGCUUUGAAAUGAUAAAUGAUGACAACUAUCACUUCAAGCAGUUCAAGCUUAUUUUUCUAAGUUACAUCAACAGCUUGACAACAUUUACAGGGAAAAAUCAGAGAAACAAGAGACUUCGCAACAGUAUCCUUUUUUCUGUCAAUCUUUUAUUGUGUAGCCAAGGAAUCCUACAAUCAAGACA